GCCUGGGUGGCUCAGUCGGUUGGGCAUCCGACUUCGGUGCGGGUCAUGAUCUCACGGGUUGUGGGUUCGAGCCCCGCGUCGGGCU
rnacentral:tRNA from 1 species